rnacentral:rRNA from 1 species
UACAGAGGUCCCAAGCGUUGUUCGGAUUCACUGGGCGUAAAGGGUGCGUAGGUGGUGAGGUAAGUCGGAUGUGAAAUCUCCAAGCUCAACUUGGAAACUGCAUUGGAAACUACCUUGCUAGAGGAUUUGAGGGGGGAUUGGAAUACUUGGUGUAGCAGUGAAAUGCGUAGAUAUCAAGUGGAACACCAGUGGCGAAGGCGAAUCCCUGGAAAAUACCUGACACUGAGGCACGAAAGCCGGGGGAGCAAACAGG